rnacentral:rRNA from 1 species
AUGGAGCGAUCUGGGCCGUCUGAUGUUCAGACGGAGCAAUCUUGGUCGUCGGAUCGAAUAGUGCGUCCUCUGGUGUGCCACCGCCUGUUAUUUCGGUGCCCUCCAAUGGGCAUUUUGGUCUUUUCACGUGUACAGCCCUGCUCCCAUUCCUCCCUCGCAGGAAACCUAGUCGCCGCCCUCUCCCACUCGUCCUCCUCCCAUCACGCCGCGCUCGCACAUCCCUGCCGCACAGCCGCCGCCGCGCAGUCGCCACUCCCCCUCAAGGUCAUGCCCCUCCCCUCAUGCCCUCCCCUCCCUCCCUCUCCUCCUCCCCGUUCUUCUCCUGCCGCUCUCCUCUUUGUUGCCGUCUGCCCCAGAUGCGGUCACCCCGCCCGCAUCUCCCUCCCCUCCACACCCCACCCGCGCCCCGCAUCUCUCUCGCCGGAGCGGCUGGCAGAAGGCGGAGAGGACGACCACCACCACCACCGGCGCCGCGGCAGGCGCCCACCGCGUUCCCCACGUCGCCGUCGCCGCCGCAAUCCGAUCCGAGGUAGGAGGCGGAGAGGACGACCGCCACCCACCACCACCAUCACCGGCGUCGCGGCAGGCGCCCACCGCGUUCCCCACGCCGCCGUCGCCGCCGCAGUCCGGUCCGAUCCGAUCCGACCCAACCCACCGAGCGACAGGCCGGCUUGGCCACGCUGGUGCUCCUUCUUCUCCUUCAACCUACUGCUGCUGAUCCCUGCCUCGCUGCUGCUCCUUCUCCUCUCAACGCUGCUGCUGCUCAUCGGCUUACAACUGCUGCCUCUUCUCUCCUCGGUUCCCUACUGCUUCUCCUUCUCUGAACCUGAACCCUUGCUGCUCUCUCUCUGUAUCUCCCUUCGCUGCUACUCUGCUUUCCUUGCUGCUCCUCCUCCUCAACGCCCCCUGCUGCCUCUUUGGUUCGCCGUGUGCUUCCGCAUUGCAUUGGUGCCGCUCGGACCCUGCUCGUGUCUGGACGCGUGCGCGUCUGGGUCGUCGUGGCUUGACCUGCCAGGUUUGGGGGAGAACUCGCAGCCUGAUUUCGUCAAUUCUGAAUCCAUAUCAUUGAUCGGACAUUGUGAGAACUUGAGUCAUGUGGUGUUUAGGAUGGGUGUGAUAUCGCGGAAGGUCCUGCCGGCGUGCGGGGCCCUGUGCUACUUCUGCCCUGGGCUCAGGGCACGGUCCAGGCAACCCGUUGAGCGGUACAAGAAGAUCCUUGCCGAAAUCUUCCCCAGAACACAGGACGAAGAACCAAAUGAUAGGAGGAUUGGGAAGCUGUGCGAGUACGCCGCCAAGAACCCUCUUCGAGUGCCCAAGAUCACAGUUUACCUGGAGCAAAGGAUUUACAAGGAAUUAAGAGCCGAGCAGUAUGGUUUUGCAAAAGUGGUGAUGCUGAUAUACCGCGGACUGCUGGUGUCUUGCAAAGGACAAAUAGCACACUGUUCUGCGCUCCGAGCAAGCGCCACUAAUGCUACAAUAGAUCAAAGUUCUGAAAUUGUGAGCAUUCAUAUACAGUCUUUGGAUCAAACAACAAAGGCAGCACACAUAAUUACAAGUCCGCUUUAG